rnacentral:rRNA from 1 species
AGUGAACGCUGGCGGUAGGCCUAACACAUGCAAGUUGAACGGCAGCACAGUAAGAGCUUGCUCUUACGGGUGGCGAGUGGCGGACGGGUGAGGAAUACAUCGGAAUCUACUUUUUCGUGGGGGAUAACGUAGGGAAACUUACGCUAAUACCGCAUACGACCUACGGGUGAAAGCAGGGGAUCUUUGGACCUUGCGCGAUUGAAUGAGCCGAUGUCGGAUUAGCUAGUUGGCGGGGUAAAGGCCCACCAAGGCGACGAUCGGUAGCUGGUCUGAGAGGAUGAUCGGCCACACUGGAACUGAGACACGGUCCAGACUCCUACGGGAGGCAGUAGUGGGGAAUAUUGGACAAUGGGCGCAAGCCUGAUCCAGCCAUACCGCGUGGGUGAAGAAGGCCUUCGGGUUGUAAAGCCCUUUUGUUGGGAAAGAAAAGCAGCAGGUUAAUACCCCGCUGUUCUGACGGUACCCAAAGAAUAAGCACCGGCUAACUUCGUG